rnacentral:sRNA from 1 species
CCACAAAGGGUGUUGGUCGAU